rnacentral:rRNA from 1 species
GACGAGUCUCACAAACGUUAUUCGGAAUCACUGGGCUUAAAGGGUGCGUAGGCGGUGAGGUAAGUCGGAUGUGAAAUACCUUAGCUUAACUAGGGAACUGCAUUCGAUACUACUUUGCUUGAAUAAGACAGAGGUGAGUGGAACUGAGGGUGGAGCGGUGAAAUGCGUUAAUAUCCUCAGGAACACCGGUGGCGAAGGCGACUCACUGGGUCUUUACUGACGCUGAUGCACGAAAGCUAGGGUAGCAAACGGG